rnacentral:rRNA from 1 species
CCUACGGGUGGCAGCAGUGAGGAAUAUUGGUCAAUGGGCGCGAGCCUGAACCAGCCAAGUAGCGUGAAGGAUGAAUGCCCUACGGGUUGUAAACUUCUUUUAUAAAGGAGUAAAGUGAGGCGCGUGUGCCUUUUUGUAUGUACUUUAUGAAUCCGGAUAGGCUAACUCCGUUCCAGCAGCCGCGGUACUACGGAGGAUCCGAGCGUUAUCCGGUUUUAAUGGGUUUAAAGGAAGCGUAGAUGGGUUGUUAAGUCAGUUGUGAAAGUUUGCGGCUCAACCGUAAUAUUGCAAUUGAUACUGGCAGUCUUGAGUACAGUUGAGGUAGGUGGAAUUCGAGGUGUAGCGGUGAAAUGCUUAGAUAUCACGAAGAACGCCGGUGGCGAAGGCAGCUUACUAAUCUGUCACUGACACUGAUGCUCGAAAGUGUGGGUAGCAAACAGGAUUAGAUACCCCUGUAGUC